rnacentral:rRNA from 1 species
UACGUAGGGGGGCAAGCGUUAUCCGGAAUUACUGGGUGUAAAGGGAGCGUAGGCGGUAGAGUAAGUUAGAUGUGAAAAGCCCCAAGGGCUCAACCUUGGGGACUGCAUUUAAAAACUGCUUUACUAGAGUACAGGAGAGGAAAGUGGAAUUCCUAGUGUAGCGGUGAAAUGCGUAGAUAUUAGGAGGAACACCAGUGGCGAAGGCGACUUUCUGGACUGUAACUGACGCUGAGGCUCGAAAGCGUGGGGGGAGCGAACAGG